AUUGAACGCUGGCGGCAGGCCUAACACAUGCAAGUCGAACGAGUGGCGGACGGGUGAGUGAUGUCUGGGAAACUGCCCGAUGGAGGGGGAUAACUACUGGAAACGGUAGCUAAUACCGCAUACCAUCGGAUGGGCCCAGAUGGGAUUAGCUAGUAGGUGGGGUAACGGCUCACCUAGGCGACGAUCCCUAGCCGGUUUGAGAGGACGAUCAGCCACACUGGGACUGAGACACGGCCCAGACUCCUACGGGAGGCAGCAGUGGGGAAUUUUUGACAAUGGGGGAAAACCUGAGCCAGCCACCCCGCGUGUGGGAUGAAGGCCUUCGGGUUGUAAAGCACUUUUGGCAGGAAAGCCGUACCUGCAGAAGAAGCACCGGGUAACCACGUGCCAGCAGCCGCGGUAAUACC
rnacentral:rRNA from 1 species